GCAUUCCCAAACACCUGCUCAGGGGGCUGUGGGAGAGCAGGAGAGAUGCCUAGCACCGCCUAGGACAAUCUGGGGAGUCUUCCUGGGGGUGGUGGCUGCUGGUUAUCCAGUGGCAGGAUCCAGAAAGGGGCUGGCAUCUGGCCCGGUGCUGGUGAUACAUUGGUAGAUAGACAGGUGGACUCCACCCAGGCCCUUGCGGGGCUCACAGGGCGCUCGGAGGGUAAAUGUGGUAGCGGACAAGAGGGGCCCCAGCUCAGCUGGGGUGGGGCAGGGGGGCCAGAGCAGGCUUCCUGGGAAGAGAUGACAUCUUCAUUGAGCCCUGAAGGUCACUCUUUGAACCUGGCCGUCAUGCUGUGAGGAAGCCCAAACCAGUCCGCGUGGAGAGAUGAUGCGUAGGUGUCCAGCCCCCAGCAUUGCCAAGGUCCUGCUGACAGCCAGCAUCAACAGCCAGACGCGUGAGCAAAGACUCCUCCAGACGGUUCCCAGCUCCACCCAUCAAGUCUCCCCAGCCUUCAAGUUUUCCCAGCCGAGGCCCCAAACAUCACGGAGAGGAAUGAAGCCAUUCCCAAUGUGCCCAGUCUGUUCCUGGCCCAGAGGCUCUGAGCCUAAUAAAGCGGUUGUGUUAUGCCCCUA